rnacentral:rRNA from 1 species
CACGUAGGCGGAUAUUUAAGUCAGGGGUGAAAUCCCGGAGCUCAACUCUGGAACUGCCUUUGAUACUGGGUAUCUUGAGUAUGGAAGAGGUAAGUGGAAUUCCGAGUGUAGAGGUGAAAUUCGUAGAUAUUCGGAGAACACCAGUGGCGAAGGCGGCUUACUGGUCCAUUACUGACGCUGAGGUGCGAAAGCGUGGGGAGCAAACA